rnacentral:rRNA from 1 species
UGCCAGCCGCCGCGGUAAUACGGAGGGUGCGAGCGUUAAUCGGAAUCACUGGGCGUAAAGCGUACGUAGGUGGCAAGGUCAGUCAGGCGUGAAAGCCCUCGGCUCAACCGAGGAAUUGCGUUUGAUACUGCUUGACUAGUGUCCGGUAGAGGUGAGUGGAAUUCUCGGUGUAGCGGUGAAAUGCGCAGAUAUCGAGAGGAACACCAUUAGCGAAGGCGGCUCACUGGGCCGGUACAGACGCUGAGGAGCGAAAGCGUGGGGAGCAAACAGGAUUAGAUA